rnacentral:rRNA from 3 species
UAUGGUCAAGUGAAGAAGCGCAUACGGUGGAUGCCUUGGCAGUCAGAGGCGAUGAAAGACGUGGUAGCCUGCGAAAAGCUUCGGGGAGUCGGCAAACAGACUGUGAUCCGGAGAUAUCUGAAUGGGGGAACCCAGCCAUCAUAAGAUGGUUAUCUUGUACUGAAUACAUAGGUGCAAGAGGCGAACCAGGGGAACUGAAACAUCUAAGUACCCUGAGGAAAAGAAAUCAACCGAGAUUCCCUUAGUAGUGGCGAGCGAACGGGGACCAGCCCUUAAGUUGUAUUGAGAUUAGCGGAACGUUCUGGAAAGGACGGCCAUAGUGGGUGAUAGCCCUGUACGCGAAAAUCCCUUUGCAAUGAAAUCGAGUAGGACGGGGCACGAGAAACCUUGUCUGAAUAUGGGGGGACCAUCCUCCAAGGCUAAAUACUACUGACUGACCGAUAGUGAACCAGUACCGUGAGGGAAAGGCGAAAAGAACCGCGGAGAGCGGAGUGAAAUAGAUCCUGAAACCGUAUGCGUACAAGCAGUGGGAGCCCACUUUGUUGGGUGACUGCGUACCUUUUGUAUAAUGGGUCAGCGACUUAUUUUCAGUGGCGAGCUUAACCGAAUAGGGGAGGCGUAGCGAAAGCGAGUCUUAAUAGGGCGUCUAGUCGCUGGGAAUAGACCCGAAACCGGGCGAUCUAUCCAUGGGCAGGUUGAAGGUUGGGUAACACUAACUGGAGGACCGAACCGACUACCGUUGAAAAGUUAGCGGAUGACCUGUGGAUCGGAGUGAAAGGCUAAUCAAGCUCGGAGAUAGCUGGUUCUCCUCGAAAGCUAUUUAGGUAGCGCCUCAUGUAUCACUGUAGGGGGUAGAGCACUGUUUCGGCUAGGGGGUCAUCCCGACUUACCAAACCGAUGCAAACUCCGAAUACCUACAAGUGCCGAGCAUGGGAGACACACGGCGGGUGCUAACGUCCGUCGUGAAAAGGGAAACAACCCAGACCGUCAGCUAAGGUCCCAAAGUCAUGGUUAAGUGGGAAACGAUGUGGGAAGGCUUAGACAGCUAGGAGGUUGGCUUAGAAGCAGCCACCCUUUAAAGAAAGCGUAAUAGCUCACUAGUCGAGUCGGCCUGCGCGGAAGAUGUAACGGGGCUCAAACCAUGCACCGAAGCUACGGGUAUCAUCUUUUGAUGAUGCGGUAGAGGAGCGUUCUGUAAGCCUGUGAAGGUGAGUUGAGAAGCUUGCUGGAGGUAUCAGAAGUGCGAAUGCUGACAUGAGUAACGACAAUGGGUGUGAAAAACACCCACGCCGAAAGACCAAGGUUUCCUGCGCAACGUUAAUCGACGCAGGGUUAGUCGGUCCCUAAGGCGAGGCUGAAAAGCGUAGUCGAUGGAAAACAGGUUAAUAUUCCUGUACUUCUGGUUAUUGCGAUGGAGGGACGGAGAAGGCUAGGCCAGCCUGGCGUUGGUUGUCCAGGUUUAAGGUGGUAGGCUGAGAUCUUAGGUAAAUCCGGGAUCUUAAGGCCGAGAGCUGAUGACGAGUGUUCUUUAGAACACGAAGUGGUUGAUGCCAUGCUUCCAAGAAAAGCUUCUAAGCUUCAGGUAACCAGGAACCGUACCCCAAACCGACACAGGUGGUUGGGUAGAGAAUACCAAGGCGCUUGAGAGAACUCGGGUGAAGGAACUAGGCAAAAUGGCACCGUAACUUCGGGAGAAGGUGCGCCGGUGAGGGUGAAGCAUUUACUGCGUAAGCUCAUGCCGGUCGAAGAUACCAGGCCGCUGCGACUGUUUAUUAAAAACACAGCACUCUGCAAACACGAAAGUGGACGUAUAGGGUGUGACGCCUGCCCGGUGCCGGAAGGUUAAUUGAUGGGGUUAGCGCAAGCGAAGCUCUUGAUCGAAGCCCCGGUAAACGGCGGCCGUAACUAUAACGGUCCUAAGGUAGCGAAAUUCCUUGUCGGGUAAGUUCCGACCUGCACGAAUGGCGUAACGAUGGCGGCGCUGUCUCCACCCGAGACUCAGUGAAAUUGAAAUCGCUGUGAAGAUGCAGUGUAUCCGCGGCUAGACGGAAAGACCCCGUGAACCUUUACUAUAGCUUUGCACUGGACUUUGAAUUUGCUUGUGUAGGAUAGGUGGGAGGCUUUGAAGCGUGGACGCCAGUCUGCGUGGAGCCAACCUUGAAAUACCACCCUGGCAACUUUGAGGUUCUAACUCAGGUCCGUUAUCCGGAUCGAGGACAGUGUAUGGUGGGUAGUUUGACUGGGGCGGUCUCCUCCUAAAGAGUAACGGAGGAGUACGAAGGUGCGCUCAGACCGGUCGGAAAUCGGUCGUAGAGUAUAAAGGCAAAAGCGCGCUUGACUGCGAGACAGACACGUCGAGCAGGUACGAAAGUAGGUCUUAGUGAUCCGGUGGUUCUGUAUGGAAGGGCCAUCGCUCAACGGAUAAAAGGUACUCCGGGGAUAACAGGCUGAUACCGCCCAAGAGUUCAUAUCGACGGCGGUGUUUGGCACCUCGAUGUCGGCUCAUCACAUCCUGGGGCUGAAGCCGGUCCCAAGGGUAUGGCUGUUCGCCAUUUAAAGUGGUACGCGAGCUGGGUUUAGAACGUCGUGAGACAGUUCGGUCCCUAUCUGCCGUGGACGUUUGAGAUUUGAGAGGGGCUGCUCCUAGUACGAGAGGACCGGAGUGGACGAACCUCUGGUGUUCCGGUUGUCACGCCAGUGGCAUUGCCGGGUAGCUAUGUUCGGAAAAGAUAACCGCUGAAAGCAUCUAAGCGGGAAACUUGCCUCAAGAUGAGAUCUCACUGGAACCUUGAGUUCCCUAAAGGGCCGUCGAAGACUACGACGUUGAUAGGUUGGGUGUGUAAGCGCUGUGAGGCGUUGAGCUAACCAAUACUAAUUGCCCGUGAGGCUUGACCAUA